rnacentral:rRNA from 1 species
GCCUCUCGUUUACACCGUGAUGAUGUCUGUUAAACCAGAUCACUUUGAGCCCAAACUCUAGCCCAAAUUUAUCGUCCCUCACCCCUGUUCCUUAAUAAUAAACCAUUUCUACCUUUUAGUACAGGUGAUCGAAAAAUAUUUAAGCGCUUCAGAAAAAGUACCGUAAGGGAAUGAUGAAAUAAUCAUGAAAUAAUAUCAAGCCCUUAAUAGCAGAGCCUAACCCUCGUACCUUUUGCAUCAUGGUCUAGCUAGUCUAACCAAGCAAAACGAAACUUUUAGUUUGACUCCCCGAAACUAAGCGAGCUACUUCGGAACAGCCCUAAGGGGCCAACCCGUCUCUGUUGCAAAAGAGUGGGAAGAUUCCCAAGUAGAAGUGAUAGACCUACCGAGCUUAGAGAUAGCUGGUUAUUCAGGAAAAGAGUCUCAGCUCUACCUUAAGUUUUCUAACAACCCCCUAAACUUAAGAGCUAUUCAAAUAAGGCACAGCUUAUUUGAAACAGGAUACAACCUACAGCACUGGGUAAAUAGAGGUUAUAAAAUCAAGUGGGCCUAAAAGCAGCCACCUUCAAAAAAGCGUUAAAGCUUAAUUUUAAUCCUAUAAUUUCUUAAAUUACUCUAACCCUUUACCCCCACUGAAUUAUUUUAUAAGCAUAUAAAAGCUAUUAUGCUAGAACUAGUAACAAGAAAAUUUUUCUCCUUAAUGUAAGUAUAAACCAAAAUGGACUAACCAUUGGCUAUUAACGUUAAUGUUUAAAUUAUAGUAACACAAGACCUGAAUAUCCUAUCAACGUUAAUCUUACACCAGAACAUUACAGGAAAGAUUAAAAGAAAAAGAAGGAACUCGGCAAACUUUAGCCCCGCCUGUUUACCAAAAACAUCGCCUCUUGCUAAACAUAAGAGGUCCAGCCUGCCCAGUGACUAAUUCAACGGCCGCGGUACCCUAACCGUGCGAAGGUAGCAUAAUCACUUGUCCUUUAAAUAAGGACUUGUAUCAACGGCAUCACGAGGGCUACGCUGUCUCCUUUUUCUAAUCAGUGAAACUGAUCCCCCCGUGAAGAAGCGGGGAUUAAACUAUAAGACGAGAAGACCCCAUGGAGCUUUAAACCCAUCUAUACAUCCUAUACCAAAUCAACUUAACGGACCCUGUAUGCUGGCUUUAGGUUGGGGAGACCACGGAGAAAAAUAUAACCUCCAUGACAAACGGACUUCAUCCUUAUCUAUGAGUUACAACUCUAAGAAUCAAUAAAUUGAUGUUUAUGACCCAAAUAUUUGAUUAACGAACCAAGUUACCCUGGGGAUAACAGCGCAAUCUACUUCAAGAGCCCCUAUCGACAAGUAGGUUUACGACCUCGAUGUUGGAUCAGGGUAUCCUAGUGGUGCA